AUAAGUUUUUAAUCUGGCUCAGGACGAACGCCGGGCGGCGUGCCUAAUACAUGCAAGUCUAUAGAUUUUUUUUUCCUGGCUCAGGAUGAUCGCCGGCGAGAGUACAUAACGCAUGCAAGUCGAGCGAUCUUUUGGGAGAGAGCGGCGGACGGGGUGAGUAACGCGUGGGUACACCUGCCCUGUACACUACGGAUAACAUUCUCGAACAGGUAUAAUAAUACGGGAUAACAUAUGAAAGUCGCAUGGAUUUUGUAUCAAAGCUCCGGCGGUACAGGAUGGACCCGCGUCUGAUUAGCUAGUUGGUAAGGUAAUGGCUUACCAAGGCAACGAUCAGUAGCCGACCUGAGAGGGUGAUCGGCCACACUGGAAGUGAGACGCGGUCCAGACUCCUCCGGGAGGCAGCAGUGGGGAAUAUUGCACAAUGGGAGAAAACAUGAUGCAGCAAUCCCGCGUGAGCGAUGAAGGCCUUCGGGUCGUAAAGCUCUGUCCUCAAGGAAGAUAAUGACGGUACUUGAGGAGGAAGCCCCGGCUAACUACGUGCCAGCACCCGCGGUAAUACGUAGGGGGCUAGCGUUAUCCGGAAUUGGUGGGAGUAAAGGGUCAGUAGGUGGUUUUUUAAGUCAGAAGUGAAAGCCUACGGCUCAACCGUAGUAAGCUUUUGAAACUAGAGAACUUGAGUGCAGGAGAGGAGAGUAGAAUUCCUAGUGUAGCGGUGAAAUGCGUAGAUAUUAGGAGGAAUACCAGUAGAGAAGGCGUCUCUGUGGACUGUAACUGACAGAGAGGCACGAAAGCGUGGGGAGCACACAGGAUUAGACCCCCUGGUAGUCCACGCCGUAAACGAUGAGUAAUAGGUUCGGGGGUUACCCCCCUCGGUGCCGCAGCUAACGCAUAAGACUCCGCCGGGAGGCG
rnacentral:rRNA from 1 species